AUUGAACGCUGGCGGCAGGCCUAACACAUGCAAGUCGAGCGGAUGAAGGGAGCUUGCUCCUGGAUUCAGCGGCGGACGGGUGAGUAAUGCCUAGGAAUCUGCCUGGUAGUGGGGGACAACGUUUCGACAGGAACGCUAAUACCGCAUACGUCCUACGGGAGAAAGCAGGGGACCUUCGGGCCUUGCGCUAUCAGAUGAGCCUAGGUCGGAUGAGCUAGCUGGUGAGGUAAUGGCUCACCAAGGCGACGAUCCGUAACUGGUCUGAGAGGAUGAUCAGGAACACUGUAGCUGAGACACGGGCCAGCCUCCGACGGGAGGCAGCCGUGGGGAAUAUUGUACAAUGGGCGCAAGCCUGAUCCAGCCAUGCCGCGUGUGUUAAGAAGGUCUUAGGAUUGUAAAACACUGUAAGUUGGGAGGAAGGGUUGUAGAUUAAUACUCUGCAAUUUUGACGUUACCGACAGAAUAAGCACCGGCUAACUCUGUGCCAGCAGCCGCCGCCGUAA
rnacentral:rRNA from 1 species